rnacentral:rRNA from 1 species
CUACGGGCGGCUCCAGUGGGGAAUAUUGCACAAUGGAGGAAACUCUGAUGCAGCAACGCCGCGUGGAGGAUGACACUUUUCGGAGCGUAAACUCCUUUUAUAUAGGAAGAAGAUGACGGUACUAUAUGAAUAAGCGCCGGCUAACUCCGUGCCAGCAGCCGCGGUAAUACGGAGGGCGCAAGCGUUACUCGGAAUCACUGGGCGCAAAGAGCGUGAAGGCGGAUUAAAAAGUCAGAAGUGAAAUCCUAUAGCUUAACUAUAGAACUGCUUCUGAAACUCUUAAUCUAGAAUGUGGGAGAGGUAGAUGGAAUUUCUGGUGUAGGGGUAAAAUCCGUAGAGAUCAGAAGGAAUACCGAUUGCGAAGGCGAUCUACUAGAACAUUAUUGACGCUGAGACGCGAAAGCGUGGGGAGCAAACAGGAUUAGAUACCCCUGUAGUC